GGAACUGUUGGGCUUCAGUGACUUUACCCUCCUCCAAUCCCAACUGAAAUAGAAGUUUGAAGUGGGAUAGUCAACUGGAAGUGGAGCAGGAGGGGUCAAGCCCAUCUGUGGCAGGACCUAGGAUGGAGUGGUCACCACCUCUGCCUUCUCCAUUUUUGUCUCUUCUCUUCAAGUAUGGUUACAACCUCAGCUAACUUGGUUUUGCCAGAAAGAGGAAGCAGAGGGAGAGGCAUUCCAUGAUCAUGCCUUAUUACCAGUGAUGCAGGAGGAAUCAGAGAGGAUGCCUGGACCAGAAGCCAGCACCACCCUCAGGGCUUCACUGGAGGAGCUGUCACUGGGGCCAGUGCGGUUUCCCCUACUGCUGCAGGACCAGGAGAGGAUUCGUCCAACAGUGAAUCAGAGCAGGAGGGGCCCCAGAAGCUGGUCCAUAAAGUGUCCACCUCUGGACAGAUGGGGACCAAGGCAAAAAAGGGAUGUGGAAUGGAGUGGGAUGUUCCCAGUGAGGAGCCCAGAAUGACCAGACUGAUUUCCAGAGUGGUUGUACAAGCUUGCAAUCCCACCAGCAAUGGAGGAGGGAGACAUAACAACAGAUCCUGAAGAAAUCGAAAACACCAUCAGAUGCUUCUAAAAAAGGCUAUACUCAACAAAACUGGAAAACCUGGACAAAAUGGACAAAUUUCUGGACAGAUAUCA
rnacentral:lncRNA from 1 species